ensembl:lncRNA
UAUAUAUAUAUAUAUAUAUAUAUAUAUAUCGUCAGUAUACAUGUAAUUUUCCUGUAUGAACUGCUGGGGUCCCUGUCCUGUGUUGCUAGUUUAUUUUCAUAGUCAUUAUAAACCGCACUGCUCCGCACACAACAGUAAUAGAGUUACAGCCAUGUAUUUCAUUAGCAUAAUUAUCACAUCUUCAUGUGUGCGAGUACAUCGCCAGCCAAAAAGCCUGUCCGACUCUUCACGGAUCCACCUCUGUGCAAAUACAGCAUGCAUGCACAUGCAUUACAUGCGGUAGUGAUUUCUCAUCUGUACUUAUUAAUUAUGCAUUUACCCAACAAACCUGUUCCAUUCACAGACGCAUUUUAAUGUGAAUGACAGCUGUACAUGGUGAGCGUAUCUCACACGCACAGACAAAAGAAAAGAAAAGGAGAAGCAUGGCAGAUUGAUGGACAAUUAUAGUGCAGAGUUAGCAGAGAGAGUGAUUUCAAAGUCUCUCAAACAUAUGAGCUGAGUUGUUGUGCUGUAGCCGCAGGCUCCUGCGCUCAUACGGCUUCAGUCUACUGUAUAUAAAAGCAUGCUGGGCUACUGACUGCGCAGCUACAGAUGCCGUAUGCAUCAAAUAGCUAUUGAUUUUCACAUGUAGCACUUGUUCUGUGCAGAGGAAGGACUCUGAACACUAGUGAUCUGAUUAUUAGCAGAUUCUCUUCAUUUGCACACAUCGAACGAGAGACGCUCGGCGAAGAGAGCGAUGAUUCUGAGCAUCUCUCAGUAAAGAGGUCAGGUCUCCAGUGAGGUUAAAGUAGCAGUGCGACAUUCACAACAUUUUUAACUAUUUUGAUGCUCUGGCUUUCUGAGGCAGAGAAGAAAAUGGAAAACAUUCACGAUUAAUUCUGACAGAGUUCACAGAGAGAGAGAGAGAGAGAGAGAGAGAGAGAGGUAAAGGUCUGUUAAAAUAGGAAACUCUGCCUACAGAAACACAGCUUAUUGUUUCUGUGGAAUUAAUAAUUGACGGUUGUUAAAUGAAUAAUUUAUCAUGAACCGGAAUAAUUGUUGUAUCUCUAAUCUCGACACACAUUUGCAUAUGAAUCUUGUAAAAAUCUGCUGCUAUGUGCUGUAUAAACUUCACAGGGGUGUGAAAUUUAAUUUAUCCUAUGAAAUAAAACGUGACUUUCUCCUGCAGGAUUCGGCCCUCUUGUGGAAGUGCGCCGGAUCAGAGACGCGGCGGGAGAGUUGAUUGUGUUUGAUCCGGGCUUGUGUUGAAGUAAAAGAGCAUCUUAUACAAUUGACGGCUACAAUUAGCUGCCGAUCAGAGCAGCGGAGGACAACACUUACACUCGCAUUUACAUGUCAGUUUGUUGAAUAAAAAAAGCCGUAGGAUUUUCCUUUUCUGUGUUUGCUGUAUAAUUUGUGGAGAUUUGAGAAAGAGGAGGAACGCAGAGAUGCUCAUUAACAUGUGAAAAGAGGCAAUCAGAGGCCACUGCUGAGACUAUUGUCCACACUCAUCCAGAGAGAGAGAGAGAGAGAGAGAGAGAGAGAGAGAGAGAGAAUUAUGGGGCAGAUGAGCUGUUAUUCUAUUGAAUUUUACCUAUGACUCUCUAUUUCUCUCUCUCACACACGCACACACACACACACACACACACACACUCUUUGGAGGAUUGUUACAUACUCUAGCAAAUAUUUGUAUCAUUGC